rnacentral:tRNA from 1 species
GUACCUAUAGUGUAAUUAACAUGUUAAAUUUUCAUUUUAAAGAUAUGGUUUUCAUUGGGUAAU